AAGCUCGUAGUUGAAUUUCGGGGUUCUACCGUCGGUCGGGCUACCGAGUCUGUACUGGUGUGUAGAAUUUCUACCUUCUGGAGAACCAUCAUGUUAUUAAUUUAGCGUGGUGGGAAACCAGGACCUUUACCUUGAAAAAAUUAGAGUGUUCAAAGCAGGCUUAUGUCUGAAUACAUUAGCAUGGAAUAAUAGAAUAGGACGGUGGUCCUGUUUUGUUGGUUUCUGAAUCACCGUAAUGAUUAAUAGGGAUAGUUGGG
rnacentral:rRNA from 1 species